rnacentral:rRNA from 1 species
CCUACGGGCGGCAGCAGUAGGGAAUCUUCCACAAUGGGCGAAAGCCUGAUGGAGCAACGCCGCGUGGGUGAAGAAGGUCUUCGGAUCGUAAAACCCUGUUGUUAGAGAAGAAAGUGCGUGAGAGUAACUGUUCACGUUUCGACGGUAUCUAACCAGAAAGCCACGGCUAACUACGUGCCAGCAGCCGCGGCAAUACGUAGGAGGCAAGCGUUAUCCGGAUUUAUUGGGCGUGAAGGGAACGCAGGCGGUCUGUUAAGUCUGAUGUGAAAGCCUUCGGCUUAACCGGAGUAGUGCAUUGGAAACUGGGAGACUUGAGUGCAGAAGAGGAGAGUGGAACUCCAUGUGUAGCGGUGAAAUGCGUAGAUAUAUGGCAGAACACCAGUGGCGAAAGCGGCUUUCUGGUCUGUAACUGACGCUGAGGUUCGAAAGCGUGGGUAGCAAACAGGAUUAGAUACCCUUGUAGUC